AGCUUGCUACCUGACCUAGCGGCGGACGGGUGAGUAAUGCUUAGGAAUCUGCCUAUUAGUGGGGGACAACAUUCCGAAAGGAAUGCUAAUACCGCAUACGCCCUACGGGGGAAAGCAGGGGAUCUUCGGACCUUGCGCUAAUAGAUGAGCCUAAGUCAGAUUAGCUAGUUGGUGGGGUAAAGGCCUACCAAGGCGACGAUCUGUAGCGGGUCUGAGAGGAUGAUCCGCCACACUGGGACUGAGACACGGCCCAGACUCCUACGGGAGGCAGCAGUGGGGAAUAUUGGACAAUGGGCGAAAGCCUGAUCCAGCCAUGCCGCGUGUGUGAAGAAGGCCUUUUGGUUGUAAAGCACUUUAAGCGAGGAGGAGGCUACUUAGAUUAAUACUCUAGGAUAGUGGACGUUACUCGCAGAAUAAGCACCGGCUAACUCUGUGCCAGCAGCCGCGGUAAUACAGAGGGUGCGAGCGUUAAUCGGAUUUACUGGGCGUAAAGCGUGCGUAGGCGGCUUCUUAAGUCGGAUGUGAAAUCCCUGAGCUUAACUUAGGAAUUGCAUUCGAUACUGGGAAGCUAGAGUAUGGGAGAGGAUGGUAGAAUUCCAGGUGUAGCGGUGAGAUGCGUAGAGAUCUGGAGGAAUACCGAUGGCGAAGGCAGCCAUCUGGCCUAAUACUGACGCUGAGGUACGAAAGCAUGGGGAGCAAACAGGAUUAGAUACCCUGGUAGUCCAUGCCGUAAACGAUGUCUACUAGCCGUUGGGGCCUUUGAGGCUUUAGUGGCGCAGCUAACGCGAUAAGUAGACCGCCUGGGGAGUACGGUCGCAAGACUAAAACUCAAAUGAAUUGACGGGGGCCCGCACAAGCGGUGGAGCAUGUGGUUUAAUUCGAUGCAACGCGAAGAACCUUACCUGGUCUUGACAUAGUAAGAACUUUCCAGAGAUGGAUUGGUGCCUUCGGGAACUUACAUACAGGUGCUGCAUGGCUGUCGUCAGCUCGUGUCGUGAGAUGUUGGGUUAAGUCCCGCAACGAGCGCAACCCUUUUCCUUAUUUGCCAGCGGGUUAAGCCGGGAACUUUAAGGAUACUGCCAGUGACAAACUGGAGGAAGGCGGGGACGACGUCAAGUCAUCAUGGCCCUUACGACCAGGGCUACACGCGUGCUACAAUGGUCGAUACAAAGGGUUGCUACCUAGCGAUAGGAUGCUAAUCUCAAAAAGCCGAUCGUAGUCCGGAUUGGAGUCUGCAACUCGACUCCAUGAAGUC
rnacentral:rRNA from 1 species